rnacentral:rRNA from 1 species
AGAGUUUGAUCAUGGCUCAGAUUGAACGCUGGCGGCAGGCCUAACACAUGCAAGUCGAGCGGUAGAGAGAAGCUUGCUUCUCUUGAGAGCGGCGGACGGGUGAGUAAUGCCUAGGAAUCUGCCUGGUAGUGGGGGAUAACGUCCGGAAACGGACGCUAAUACCGCAUACGUCCUACGGGAGAAAGCAGGGGACCUUCGGGCCUUGCGCUAUCAGAUGAGCCUAGGUCGGAUUAGCUAGUUGGUGGGGUAAUGGCUCACCAAGGCGGCGAUCCGUAACUGGUCUGAGAGGAUGAUCAGUCACACUGGAACUGAGACACGGUCCAGACUCCUACGGGAGGCAGCAGUGGGGAAUAUUGGACAAUGGGCGAAAGCCUGAUCCAGCCAUGCCGCGUGUGUGAAGAAGGUCUUCGGAUUGUAAAGCACUUUAAGUUGGGAGGAAGGGCAGUAAAUUAAUACUUUGCUGUUUUGACGUUACCGACAGAAUAAGCACCGGCUAACUCUGUGCCAGCAGCCGCGGUAAUACAGAGGGUGCAAGCGUUAAUCGGAAUUACUGGGCGUAAAGCGCGCGUAGGUGGUUCGUUAAGUUGGAUGUGAAAUCCCCGGGCUCAACCUGGGAACUGCAUUCAAAACUGACGAGCUAGAGUAUGGUAGAGGGUGGUGGAAUUUCCUGUGUAGCGGUGAAAUGCGUAGAUAUAGGAAGGAACACCAGUGGCGAAGGCGACCACCUGGACUGAUACUGACACUGAGGUGCGAAAGCGUGGGGAGCAAACAGGAUUAGAUACCCCGGUAGUCC